UACGAAGGGUGCUAGCGUUGUUCGGAAUCACUGGGCGUAAAGCGCGCGUAGGCGGCGAUACAAGUCAGGGGUGAAAUCCCACAGCUCAACUGUGGAACUGCCUUUGAAACUAGAUCGCUGGAGUGUCGGAGGGGAUAGCGGAAUUGCUAAUGUAGAGGUGAAAUUCGUAGAUAUUAGCAGGAACACCGGUGGCGAAGGCGGCUAUCUGGACGACAACUGACGCUGAGGCGCGAAAGCGUGGGGAUCAAACAGG
rnacentral:rRNA from 1 species